GACAGCAGCAGCCACGGUAAUACGGAGGGUGCAAGCGUUAAUCGGAAUUACUGGGCGUAAAGCGCACGCAGGCGGUCUGACAAGUCAGAUGUGAAAUCCCCGGGCUUAACCUGGGAACUGCAUUUGAAACUGUCAGGCUGGAGUCUUGUAGAGGGGGGUGGAAUUCCAGGUGUAGCGGUGAAAUGCGUAGAGAUCUGGAGGAAUACCGGUGGCGAAGGCGGCCCCCUGGACAAAGACUGACGCUCAGGUGCGAAAGCGUGGGGAGCAAACAGGAUUAGAUACCCGAGUAGUCCCUGUCUCUUAUAC
rnacentral:rRNA from 1 species